AUUGAACGCUGGCGGCAUGCUUUACACAUGCAAGUCGAACGGCAGCGCGGGCUUCGGCCUGGCGGCGAGUGGCGAACGGGUGAGUAAUGCAUCGGAACGUGCCCAGUAGUGGGGGAUAGCCCGGCGAAAGCCGGAUUAAUACCGCAUACGACCUGAGGGUGCAAGCGGGGGACCGAAAGGCCUCGCGCUAUUGGAGCGGCCGAUGUCGGAGUAGAUAGUUGGUGGGGUAAAGGCUUACCAAGGCGACGAUCCGUAGCUGGUCUGAGAGGACGGCCCGCCACACGGGGACUGAGACACGGCCCAGACUCCGACGGGAGGCAGCAGUGGGGAAUUUUGGACGAGGGGGGCAACCCUGAUCCAGCCAUGCCGCGUGCGGGAAGAAGGCCUUCGGGUUGUAAACCGCUUUUGUUCGGGAAGAAAUCCUCUGGGCUAAUACCCCGGGAGGAUGACGGUACCGGAAGAAUAAGCACCGGCUAACUACGUG
rnacentral:rRNA from 1 species